rnacentral:rRNA from 2 species
GAUGAUCGGUGCUUGCACCAAGAUUCAACAUGGAACGAGUGGCGGACGGGUGAGUAACACGUGGGUAACCUGCCCUUAAGUGGGGGAUAACAUUUGGAAACAGAUGCUAAUACCGCAUAGAUCCAAGAACCGCAUGGUUCUUGGCUGAAAGAUGGCGUAAGCUAUCGCUUUUGGAUGGACCCGCGGCGUAUUACCUAGUUGGUGAGGUAAUGGCUCACCAAGGCGAUGAUACGUACCCAAACUGAGAGGUUGAUCGGCCACAUUGGGACUGAGACACGGCCCAAACUCCUACGGGAGGCAGCAGUAGGGAAUCUUCCACAAUGGACGCAAGUCUGAUGGAGCAACGCCGCGUGAGUGAAGAAGGCUUUCGGGUCGUAAAACUCUGUUGUUGGAGAAGAAUGGUCGGCAGAGUAACUGUUGUCGGCGUGACGGUAUCCAACCAGAAAGCCACGGCUAACUACGUGCCAGCAGCCGCGGUAAUACGUAGGUGGCAAGCGUUAUCCGGAUUUAUUGGGCGUAAAGCGAGCGCAGGCGGUUUUU